rnacentral:rRNA from 1 species
GAUGAACGCUGGCGGCGUGCCUAAUACAUGCAAGUCGAGCGAACAGACGAGGAGCUUGCUCCUCUGACGUUAGCGGCGGACGGGUGAGUAACACGUGGAUAACCUACCUAUAAGACUGGGAUAACUUCGGGAAACCGGAGCUAAUACCGGAUAAUAUAUUGAACCGCAUGGUUCAAUAGUGAAAGACGGUUUUGCUGUCACUUAUAGAUGGAUCCGCGCCGCAUUAGCUAGUUGGUAAGGUAACGGCUUACCAAGGCAACGAUGCGUAGCCGACCUGAGAGGGUGAUCGGCCACACUGGAACUGAGCCACGGUCCAGACUCCUACGGGAGGCAGCAGUAGGGAAUCUUCCGCAAUGGGCGAAAGCCUGACGGAGCAACGCCGCGUGAGUGAUGAAGGUCUUCGGAUCGUAAAACUCUGUUAUUAGGGAAGAACAAACGUGUAAGUAACUAUGCACGUCUUGACGGUACCUAAUCAGAAAGCCACGGCUAACUACGUG